UACGAAGGGGGCUAGCGUUGUUCGGAAUUACUGGGCGUAAAGCGCGCGCAGGCGGUCCUUUAAGUCAGGGGUGAAAGCCCAGAGCUCAACUCUGGAACUGCCUUUGAAACUAGAGGACUUGGGUACGGGAGAGGUGAGUGGAAUUCCGAGUGUAGAGGUGAAAUUCGUAGAUAUCUGGAGGAACACCGGUGGCGAAGGCGGCAUCCUGGACCGACACUGACGCUGAGGAGCGAAAGCCAGGGGAGCAAACGGG
rnacentral:rRNA from 1 species